GUGCGAUUACGACUUAGAAGCUUGGAGGAAUCUGGUGGAGCCACGAGCAACCGCUGAGCUUCGGAGGGGCUUUGAUAUCAUGGAUUUGGACGAUGGUAUUGGAUGGGAACUCCUCACGUCGAUGGUCCGUUACAAAGCGCGGCAAAGGAUCAGUGCUGAGGCUGCAUUGGCGCACCCAUACUUCAACCGUGAAGGCCUUCUUGGCCUCUCUGUCAUGCAAAACGUACGGCUGCAACUGUUCCGGGCAACCCAGAAGGACUACAGUGAAGCAGCUCGUUGGGUUGUCGGCCUCAUGGCAAGGUCAGGAACUGAAGAUGUGGGAGGCUUUACAGAAGCACAGCUUCAAGAGCUUAGGGUACGUAUGGCAGCCUUACCUUUGUACCUUUUCUGAGGCAAGCAUGAUAACAUAAUAACCAGUACGUGGAACACAAAGAUUUGAAAUGCGUACUGGAGUUGAUGAUUUAUUGCAGCAGUUCCCAGACAAACAAGCUUUUCAUUUGAAAUCACUAACCUUACGUAGAGCACACAAAAGGUUUGUAAUAUCAGGAGUUGUUGACUUGUUGCAGCAGUUAGAAGACAGGGUUUCAUUUCGAUAUCGGAAUGCUGACUCCAGGGAUAAACAUAUAAUCGGUGAGGAGAACACACCAAAGACUCACCACUUGUGUAUGUGUCUCUCUCUUUUCGUGUAGGAAAUAAAGCCGAAGAAAGGCAGCGCCCAGCGGAACGUGCUGGCCUCCCUGCUGCGCGUGCAGAGGAAGAUCGUGAGAACGAUCAACGAGAGCAUGGACGAUCUCACCAGCCAGCGCAAAAGCAUCUGGUGGAGCCGGUGGAUACCGAGGGAGGAGUAGGCCGGCGCACCUGU
rnacentral:lncRNA from 1 species